UACGAAGGGGGCUAGCGUUGCUCGGAAUCACUGGGCGUAAAGCGCACGUAGACGGCUUUUUAAGUCAGGGGUGAAAUCCUGGAGCUCAACUCCAGAACUGCCUUUGAUACUGAGAGGCUUGAGUCCGGGAGAGGUGAGUGGAACUGCGAGUGUAGAGGUGAAAUUCGUAGAUAUUCGCAAGAACACCAGUGGCGAAGGCGGCUCACUGGCCCGGUACUGACGCUGAGGUGCGAAAGCGUGGGGAGCAAACAGG
rnacentral:rRNA from 1 species